rnacentral:rRNA from 1 species
GAUGAACGCUGGCGGCGUGCCUAAUACAUGCAAGUCGAGCGAACAGACGAGGAGCUUGCUCCUCUGACGUUAGCGGCGGACGGGUGAGUAACACGUGGAUAACCUACCUAUAAGACUGGGAUAACUUCGGGAAACCGGAGCUAAUACCGGAUAAUAUAUUGAACCGCAUGGUUCAAUAGUUAAAGACGGUUUUGCUGUCACUUAUAGAUGGAUCCGCGCCGCAUUAGCUAGUUGGUAAGGUAACGGCUUACCAAGGCAACGAUGCGUAGCCGACCUGAGAGGGUGAUCGGCCACACUGGAACUGAGACACGGUCCAGACUCCUACGGGAGGCAGCAGUAGGGAAUCUUCCGCAAUGGGCGAAAGCCUGACGGAGCAACGCCGCGUGAGUGAUGAAGGUCUUCGGAUCGUAAAACUCUGUUAUUAGGGAAGAACAAAUGUGUAAGUAACUAUGCACGUCUUGACGGUACCUAAUCAGAAAGCCACAGCUAACUACGU